UCAAAUUAAUGAAAAAGACAGAUAUAAAACUGCUUUUGUUGUUCCAUUUGGGCACUAUGAAUGGAAUGUUAUACCUUUUGGACUGAAGAAUGCCCAUUCAGAAUUUCAAAAUAUUAUGAAUGAGAUAUUUUAUCCUUAUUCGGACUUCUCAAUUGUUUAUAUUGAUGAUGUGUUGGCAAUAGGUCACCCAGCUCAACGCAACAAGUUGAAUCAUCCAUUAUUAAUCUGGUAAUAAUUCUUUCCCACUUACUCAAGAAUAUGGAAGAACAUAUUAUUUAAUUAUGUAAACAAACAUAAAAACACAACACAACAAACAUAUAAUAUUAAAACUUUCAUGGCUCAGAAUGGUACCUGCUAUAGGCUAACAAAGAUAGUUAGCCGACUAUCAUUGGUUCCAACAAUGGCUCUGAUACCAAAUAGGCGGAAGCAGAAGAUAAUUAAACUAAUAUUUUAUUAAUAAUAAGAAAGGUUUUUACAGAGUAAGAGGGAGGAAUACAAUAGAGAGAGAGAGAGAGAGUGGAACUUAGUAUGCCUUCACAAGGGUAAAUGCUCACUUUAUAUAGAUGAAGAAGGAAUCUCGCCGGGUGCUCAUUGGGCCUUAUCGUUACGGGAUUCGAUCUUUUACAAAAGAAAAGAAAAUUGGCAGUAUACUGCCGACACUAAAGGCCAUAAUUUAGCCGACACAAACAAACAAAACAUAAAAGAUACUUUUUAAAAGCAAAUAGUACCAAAAAGAUAAGAAAAAUCUAAUAGCAGUCUCCUGAUUGGUGUAGGCUUAUUCUUAGGACAACUCCUCUUAUAUUCUCUCAAAGAAUGCCAAAAAAAAGCCAACUUAUGUUUAUGUAUACAUAUAUUUCAAGUUUAUAUAUAUAGUUUAAGUUUAUAUAUUUAAAGAGAAUUAUUUAAAUUUAUAUAAUAUAAGUUAAUUGUAUUACAUAAGAGAGGUCUGUAUAAUUUUUUCUAAAAGUUAUUCUAAAAAAUUUAAAAUAAUUUAAAAAAAAUCUCUAAAGACAAAAAAAUAUUUUAUCAAAUGGAAAAAAAUUAUUUCGAGAGAAACUGAAAAAGUGUAAAUGUUUUAUCAAAUGGUAAAAUUUUUUUACUAAAGAUAAAAAAAACUAUUUUAUUUUAAAAAACAUCUAAAAUGGUUUCUUGUCGUCUUUAGUGAGUUUUUUUUUCAAAUUAGAUAAUUUUUUUAUAUUUUUGAACUUCUCUCAUCAAGAAAAAUCAAAAAAAAUAUAAUUUUUUAUCAAACAGUCAAAAAAAUCACUAAAAACGAAAAAUCUCAAAAAACAAUGAAGCUAGGAAAAAAAACAAUACCUUUUGAUUUUUGAGUUUUUUUUUUUAUCUUUAGUGAAUUAUUUUUUGCUAUUUAAUCAAAAAAUUAUAUUUUUUCGAUUUCUCAUGAAAUGAAAAAUCCAAAAAUAUAAAAAAAAAUAGAGAAAAGUUACUAAAAACGAAAAAAACUAUUCUGAAACGGUUUUAAAUAUCCAACACACUCACUAACUCUAUCAAUGAAGAUGCUCCUAGGAAAUUAAGAGAAAUUAUUUAGUACGAACAAAUCCUAAUGGUGCUCUAAGAGUACCAAAUAAUCCCUCCCUCGGAAGGUAGGGGAAUAAAGAGAAAGGAAAGGAAAAUAAUUGGAUAUGAAUAAUUUAGGCUCUGUAUAGAUACGUGAAUUUAAAAUUAAGAGAUUUAAAAUUUUUGACCUAAAUUUAUGGAGUAUCUUUAGAUAGAGAAUAGACCCAAAGAAUAGUGAGAAAUUACCCCUCAAAUUUCAAGUGCAAAAUAUUUUUUUUUAAAUAACUCUAAAAUAUUUAUUAUUUGACAAAUUCACACAUAUCUCUCCUCUCUUCUCUCUCUCUCAUUGUCUCUCUCCUCUCUCUUCUCUCGUCUUCUUUCUCUCCUCUCUCUAUUCAAAAUAAUAUUAAUAAAAAUCUAUGUAAUUAAAAUCUUUUAUAAAAAAAUAUGUAUCCAAACGGGGAAUUUAAAAUCUAUAGAAAUUUAAAAAUCUUAGGAAUUUAAAAUCUAUCUAUAGAAAUUCAUGCAUCCAAAUUAAGCCUAAAAUUAGCCAUUUAAAUUUUACUAUAAAGUUUGUUUAAUGUGGAUCUACCAUAGACUCACUUUAUUGAUUAUAAUUGUUCAUCUUACAAAGCAUACUAAGAAGGAAGGUUGUUAAUGUAAAAAUUAGAUUAAUCGAAUUAGCUUUCAUAUGGUCAGAUCGUAUUUGUCUUAAGGUAAUGAAUGAUGCAAAAAAAAUUACUUGUGGCUCUGAUAAAAAUUAAUUUAUUGGCUAAUAUUCUAUCAAACCAAAUUUUUGGGUAGAUAAUUUCCUCAACAAGUUUUAUAAUAUAAGCAGCUCAAAUUAUUUAUAUAGCUUUGGAGUGUGGCCAUAUCAAACUAACUCUAUACUAAUUCAAGUAUUAAACUUUGCAUAAGCCACACCCAAUGUAAUUAUUUUUCUAGCUUUAUUGCUUGGUUUUCAAUUUGUGAAGAAAAGGAG
rnacentral:lncRNA from 1 species